rnacentral:rRNA from 1 species
UACGGAGGGGGGCUAGCGUUUGUUCGGAAUUACUGGGCGUAAAGCGCACGUAGGCGGCUUUGUAAGUUAGAGGUGAAAGCCCAGGGCUUAACCCUGGAAUUGCCUUUAAGACUGCAUCGCUAGAAUUGUGGAGAGGUAAGUGGAAUUCCGAGUGUAGAGGUGAAAUUCGUAGAUAUCGGAAGAACACCAGUGGCGAAGGCGACUUACUGGACACAUAUUGACGCUGAGGUGGCGAAAAGCGUGGGG